ACGGGGGUAGUAUAAUUGAGUAUUUCGUCUUUCCAAGUCGAAGGUCUAGGUUUUAGUCGUCGUA
rnacentral:tRNA from 1 species